rnacentral:tRNA from 1 species
GCCCGGAUGGCGAAAUCGGUAGACGCAAGGGACUUAAAAUCCCUCGGGGUAACCCGUGCCGGUUCGACCCCGGCUCCGGGCACCA